rnacentral:lncRNA from 1 species
ACCAGACCAUCUCCCGGCGCGGGUGGAAUUCCCGCGAUCUGUCUCAUUCCCUGCGCCGCCGAGAAAAGUGAGAUCCCGCGAGACUCCCAGGGUAUGGUCUCUCAAGAGCCCUGGAAACGUGUGUCGGCGCCGCCGGAUGCGGCGACUUCUCAGUGGCUGUGGCUGGCGUUGGUCCGAAGCGUGGUGUUCUUCCCUGGUGUCUUUCUGCUUAUCUCUUUCCUCCCUGGGCCCUCCGGCGCGAGGGACCGUCAUCACCUCCCCGAGAGAGGUUGUCCGCGCUGCCAGGCGCUGGGCAGCAGGCUCUCCGGGUGGCCGGGCGGGCGGCGCGGAGACGUCGGCGGGCCUGAUGUCUGCCUUGAGCGCCCGCGGUCCUAGCCUGCCUGUACGCGCAGGUCACUGUAGAAUGGCACCAUUGUUGUGCGGAUGCUGAUGCCCAGCGUUGAGCCUGUCGUCUCCUAUAUUAGGGGAAGUUCUCCUGGCCCUUCCCAACUACCUCCCCUGUGCAAGUUUAUUACAACUGAACGGCCUCAAGGAUGAAGUCUGGCUCUGUUGCCCAAGCUGGAGUGUGUUGGCACCAUCUUGGUUCACUGCAACUUCCACCUCCCAGGCUCCAGUGAUUCUCCUGCCUCAGCCUCAAGGGUAGCUGAGAUUACAGGCUGGAGUGCAGUGGCAUGAUCUCACCUCACUGAGAACCUCCACCUCCAGGGUUCAAGUGAUUCUGCUACCUCAACCUCCCAAAUAGCUGGGACUACAGGGUCUCAUUCUGUCACCCAGGUUGGAGUGCAGUGGCAACAUCAUAGCUCACUGCAGCCUUGAACCCCUGGGCUCAAGUGAUCCUCCUGCUUCAGCCUCCUGAGUAGCUGGGGCUACAGGCACUUUCCCUACAUUUUCAAAGGCCUGCAUCAUCACAUCUGCCACAGCAUUCUCUAUCAUUGAGGCAUUUUCUCAGGAAAUCACCUGUGAAAUAUUUUGCAGCUAACCACCUACCUGUGCCCCACCAGCCAACAUGCUUUACUCCUGCCAGGCAGCUGUGUCACUCUGGAAGCUUUGAUCAGAAAAUUGUAGUUGCUGUUGCCUCUGAUGUGCAAGUCCAAGAUUCUUGGGCCGCAGGACAUGUUCUGCAUAUAUUCCUGGAGAAUAGACCAACAAUGAGACUGAAUCAGUAACGAAAAGUCUUCUAUGAAAGAAAAACCCAGAACCAUAUUGCUUUACUGCUUAAUUCUAAUAAACUCAUAAAGAACAACAAACACCAAUUCUUCUCAAACUAUUCCAAAAAAUUGAAGCAGGGCAGGGAGGAAUUCUUCCUAACUCAUUCUAAAAGGCCAGCAUUAUCCUGAUACCAAAACCAGACAAGGACACAGCAAAAACAGAGAACUACAGGCCAAUAUCCCUGAUGAUGCUAAAUGGAAAAAUCCUCAACAAAAUACUAGCAAAACCAAUGCAACAACACAGAAAAGAUAAUACACCAUGAUCAAAUGAGAUUUAUCCCAAGUAUGCAAUCAUGAUUCAACAUACACAAAUCAAUACUUGUGAUACAUCACAUCAACAGAGUGAAGGACCAAAAGACAUAUGAUCAUCUCAACAGAUACAGAAAAAGAUUUGAUAUGAUUCAAAAUCCCAUUAUGAUAAAAACUUUUUUUUUUUGAGACAGGGUCUCACUCUGUCACCCAGGCUGGAGUGCAGUGGCAUGAUCAUGGCUCACUGCAGCCUCGACCUCCCAGGCUUACACGAUCCUCCCACCUCAACUUUCCAAAUAGCUAGACUACAGGUGCCUGCCUGUAGUCAAGCCAUAGGUGCCAUUGCCUGGCUAAUUUUUAUAUUUUUUGUAGAGAUGGGAUUUCGCCAUGUUGUCCAGGCUGGUCUCAAAUUCUUGAGCUCAAGCAAUCUGCCCAUCUUGCCCUCCCAAAGUGAUGAGAUUAAAGGCAUAAGCCACCGCACCCAGCCUAUGAUAAAAACUUAAAUCAGGUGUACAGGAAACAUAUCUCAACAUAAUAUAGACAAUAUGUUCCAAACCCACAGCAAACAUCUUAGUGAAUGGGGAAAAGAUAAAAGUCUUUCCUCUAAGAACUGGAAGAAGAUUCGAAUGUCUACUUUCACCACUCUUAUUACCAUAGUUCAGGGAGUCCUAGUCAGAACUAUGGUAAGAGAAAAAAAUAAGGCAAGAAAA